rnacentral:rRNA from 1 species
CCUACGGGAGGCUGCAGUGGGGAAUAUUGCACAAUGGGGGAAACCCUGAUGCAGCGACGCCGCGUGAAGGAAGAAGGUUUUCGGAUCGUAAACUUCUAUCAGCAGGGGAGAAGGAAGUGACAGUACCUGACUAAGAAGCCCCGGCUAACUACGUGACAGCAGCCGCGGUAAUCAGAAGGGGGCAAGCGUUAUCCGGAAUCAGUGGGUGUAAAGGGUGCGAAGGCGGUAGGGCAAGUCAGAUGUGAAAGACCGGGGGUCAACCCCGGGAUUGCAUUUGAAACUGUCUUACUAGUAUUCAGGAGAGGAAAGCGGAAUUCCUAGUGUAGCGGUGAAAUUCGUAGAUAUUAGGAAGAACACCAGUGGCGAAGGCGGCUUUCUGGACUGUAACUGACGCUGAGGCACGAAAGCGGGGGGAGCGAACAGGAUUAGAUACCCGUGUAGUG